rnacentral:rRNA from 1 species
GGGUUGUGAGGUUAAGCGACUAAGCGUACACGGUGGAUGCCCUGGCAGUCAGAGGCGAUGAAGGGCGUGCUAAUCUGCGAUAAGCGCCGGUAAGGUGAUAUGAACCGUUAUAACCGGCGAUACCCGAAUGGGGAAACCCAGUGUGACUCGUCACACUAUCAUUAACUGAAUCCAUAGGUUAAUGAGGCGAACCGGGGGAACUGAAACAUCUAAGUACCCCGAGGAAAAGAAAUCAACCGAGAUUCCCCCAGUAGCGGCGAGCGAACGGGGAGGAGCCCAGAGCCUGAAUCAGCAUGUGUGUUAGUGGAAGCGUCUGGAAAGGCGCGCGAUACAGGGUGACAGCCCCGUACACAAAAUCGCAUGUGCUGUGAGCUCGAUGAGUAGGGCGGGACACGUGGUAUCCUGUCUGAAUAUGGGGGGACCAUCCUCCAAGGCUAAAUACUCCUGACUGACCGAUAGUGAACCAGUACCGUGAGGGAAAGGCGAAAAGAACCCCGGCGAGGGGAGUGAAAAAGAACCUGAAACCGUGUACGUACAAGCAGUGGGAGCCCCACCACCAAAGCAUUCUCUGGUGUUGAAGGCCCUGCAAAGCAGCAUCGCGGUGGCGGAGCGUCGUUUGCGACGCCCAACACACAAAACAAGCGGUGAAUGCUUUGGGGUGGGGUGACUGCGUACCUUUUGUAUAAUGGGUCAGCGACUUAUAUUCUGUAGCAAGGUUAACCGAAUAGGGGAGCCGGAGGGAAACCGAGUCUUAAUUGGGCGUUAAGUUGCAGGGUAUAGACCCGAAACCCGGUGAUCUAGCCAUGGGCAGGUUGAAGGUUGGGUAACACUAACUGGAGGACCGAACCGACUAAUGUUGAAAAAUUAGCGGAUGACCUGUGGCUGGGGGUGAAAGGCCAAUCAAACCGGGAGAUAGCUGGUUCUCCCCGAAAGCUAUUUAGGUAGCGCCUCGUGAAUUCAUCUCCGGGGGUAGAGCACUGUUUCGGCUAGGGGGCCAUCCCGGCUUACCAACCCGAUGCAAACUGCGAAUACCGGAGAAUGUUAUCACGGGAGACACACGGCGGGUGCUAACGUCCGUCGUGAAGAGGGAAACAACCCAGACCGCCAGCUAAGGUCCCAAAGUCAUGGUUAAGUGGGAAACGAUGUGGGAAGGCCCAGACAGCCAGGAUGUUGGCUUAGAAGCAGCCAUCAUUUAAAGAAAGCGUAAUAGCUCACUGGUCGAGUCGGCCUGCGCGGAAGAUGUAACGGGGCUAAACCAUGCACCGAAGCUGCGGCAGCGAACGUAUCACCCAAGACAACUUUACGGAGUUGACGAUUGACGGAGCGAAGCGACGUCAAAGCGUUCAUUAAAGUCGAGUUGGCUUAGGGAUACGUUCGUUGGGUAGGGGAGCGUUCUGUAAGCCUGUGAAGGUGUGUCGUGAGGCAUGCUGGAGGUAUCAGAAGUGCGAAUGCUGACAUAAGUAACGAUAAAGCGGGUGAAAAGCCCGCUCGCCGGAAGACCAAGGGUUCCUGUCCAACGUUAAUCGGGGCAGGGUGAGUCGACCCCUAAGGCGAGGCCGAAAGGCGUAGUCGAUGGGAAACGGGUUAAUAUUCCCGUACUUGGUGUUACUGCGAAGGGGGGACGGAGAAGGCUAUGUUGGCCGGGCGACGGUUGUCCCGGUUUAAGCGUGUAGGUGUGUGUUCCAGGUAAAUCCGGUUCACUUUAACACUGAGGCGUGACGACGAGGCACUACGGUGCUGAAGCAACAAAUGCCCUGCUUCCAGGAAAAGCCUCUAAGCAUCAGGUAACACGAAAUCGUACCCCAAACCGACACAGGUGGUCAGGUAGAGAAUACCAAGGCGCUUGAGAGAACUCGGGUGAAGGAACUAGGCAAAAUGGUGCCGUAACUUCGGGAGAAGGCACGCUGACACGUAGGUGAAGUGAUUUACUCAUGGAGCUGAAGUCAGUCGAAGAUACCAGCUGGCUGCAACUGUUUAUUAAAAACACAGCACUGUGCAAACACGAAAGUGGACGUAUACGGUGUGACGCCUGCCCGGUGCCGGAAGGUUAAUUGAUGGGGUCAGCG